GACUGGGUGGCUCAGUCGGUUGAGCGUCCGACUUUGGCUCAGGUCAUGAUCUCACAGUUCGUGGGUUCGACCCCCGCAUCAGGCU
rnacentral:tRNA from 1 species